CUCAAGCUUUCCUUUGUCCAGAAGCUUCUCAUCCUACAACAGACGAUGAAGACGAGUAAGAAAUGAGUGUUAAGCUGCAAAGACAGUACAAGUAAGAGCUCGAACAUAUAUACCUCUUCAAUGGUCGUAUCAAAACCAGACAGAGCAGAUUUGCAGGCAUCUCUGACAACACGGCAUAUGAGUUCCUCGUUUGUACGACUUACAGGCAAUUCAAGAUGACCCCAUAUGGUGUUAUUGAAGAUAGAUUCUAAUAAGAAAGCAUCUGGACCGCCAAGAGCCACAAGCCGAAGGUACUGAAGCAUACCAGCGGGAAGAGUCUGGCCGUCUACUAUGUCAAAGUAUCCGGUCUCACCCAUCUUGUUACUCUCAGCAAUAUCCAACUUAUCCCCAAAGAAUGGGUCUGAUUCUGGUAUCUCUAUUGUUAAAGUAUAUGAGUUCCGUUUAGGGU